CGAUCUUCCUCCAUGUUGAAUUUUCUCUUUCUGCUGCGAGGUUUGUGGGUUAUACUGGUCUUUAGUACUCUUGAUUUUGCCCCUCUAAGGAUUCGUACUCUUUCUUAGAGUCAUACUAGACUCGGUAAUUACGACUUUGUCAAACGUUGUCUGAGGCGUUUUUACGUAGUGCUUGCCAGUGGAAAGUUUUCAAAAGUUGGCAAGAUGAAGAAGUUUUUACUAGCUUGUUUUGGUCUUGGAUUUGCUCUCGGAGGAAGUUACUACAUGUACCGAAGAUGGCAGAACUCCCGUGAGGAAAGCGACGAUGCUGACGAUCAAAACGAUAGUAGCACCACUCAGGAGAGAGCACCAUCUUUUGAGCCUGUUAAAAUAACACUACCAAGUAUCUCAGAUGGAGACAGCAGUGGCAAGCAAGACAAAGCAAAGAGUAUCAAAAAUACCAAAAGCACCAAAAAUAAUUUUGGGGGCAUGAGGUCCGGUUUUCUUUUGUAAUCCUGUACUUCUGCUACAAUCAACAAAAUACUUUCAACCCUUUUCCUUUAUAAAAAGAAAAAAAGAAAAAAAAAACGAAUUAAAAAAAGUUCUUUGCAUAAAUAUUACUUCCGAAACUGUUUUUCAACCUUUUUUGUAGCAGAAAAAAGAGAAAGGAAC